AUACUUACCUGGCAGGGGAGAUACCAUGAUCAUGAAGGUGGUUUUCCCAGGGCGAGGCUUAUCCAUUGCACUCCGGAUGUGCUGACCCCUGCGAUUUCCCCAAAUGUGGGAAACUCGACUGCAUAAUUUGUGGUAGUGGGGGACUGCGUUCGCACUUUCCCCUG
ensembl:snRNA U1 U1 spliceosomal RNA